UACAGAGGUGGCAAGCGUUGUUCGGAAUUACUGGGCGUAAAGAGCGCGCAGGCGGUCGUUCAAGUCGCGUGUGAAAGCCCCCGGCUCAACUGGGGAGGGUCACGCGAUACUGAUCGACUCGAAGGCAGGAGAGGGUAGUGGAAUUCCCGGUGUAGUGGUGAAAUGCGUAGAUAUCGGGAGGAACACCAGUGGCGAAGGCGACUACCUGGCCUGUUCUUGACGCUGAGGCGCGAAAGCUAGGGGAGCAAACGGG
rnacentral:rRNA from 1 species